rnacentral:rRNA from 1 species
GACGAACGCUGGCGGCGUGCUUAACACAUGCAAGUCGAACGGAAAGGCCUCUUUCGGGGGGUACUCGAGUGGCGAACGGGUGAGUAACACGUGAGUAACCUGCCCUUGACUUUGGGAUAACUUCAGGAAACUGGGGCUAAUACCGGAUAGGAGCUCCUGCUGCAUGGUGGGGGUUGGAAAGUUUCGGCGGUUGGGGAUGGACUCGCGGCUUAUCAGCUUGUUGGUGGGGUAGUGGCUUACCAAGGCUUUUACGGGUGGCCGGCCUGAGAGGGGGACCGGCCACAUUGGGACUGAGAUACGGCCCAGACUCCUACGGGAGGCAGCAGUGGGGAAUAUUGCACAAUGGGUGGAAGCCUGAUGCAGCAACGCCGUGUGCGGGAUGACGGCCUUCGGGUUGUAAACCGCUUUCGCUCAUGACGAAGCUUUGUGUGAUGGUAGUGGGUAAAGAAGCACCGGCUAACUACGUG